AGUGAACGCUGGCGGCGUGCUUAACACAUGCAAGUCGAACGAGAACGGAUUAUAGCUUGCUAUAAUUGUCAGCUAAGUGGCGCACGGGUGAGUAAUGUAUAGGUAAUAUGCCUCUUACUAAGGGAUAACAAAUGGAAACGUUUGCUAAUACCUUAUACUCCUUAUUAAAAGAAGUUAAGAAGGGAAAGAUUUAUUGGUAAGAGAUUAGCCUGUAUUGUAUCAGUUAGUUGGUGGGGUAAUGGCCUACCAAGACUAUGACACAUAACUGGUUUGAGAGGAUGAUCAGUCACACUGGAACUGAGACACGGUCCAGACUCCUACGGGAGGCAGCAGUGGGGAAUAUUGCACAAUGGACGAAAGUCUGAUGCAGCAACGCCGCGUGGAGGAUGACACAUUUCGGUGCGUAAACUCCUUUUAUAUGAGAAGAUAAUGACGGUAUUAUAUGAAUAAGCACCGGCUAACUCCGUGCCAGCCGCCGCUGUAA
rnacentral:rRNA from 1 species